UCGGGAAUUUUGGGCAAUGGGCGAAAGCCUGACCCAGCAACGCCGCGUGAAGGAUGAAGUCUUUCGGGAUGUAAACUUCGGAAAUAUAGGAAGAAUAAAUGACGGUACUAUAUUUAAGGUCCGGCUAACUACGUGCCAGCAGCCGCGGUAAUACGUAGGGACCAAGCGUUGUUCGGAUUUACUGGGCGUAAAGGGUGCGUAGGCGGCGCCGCAAGUCAAUUGUGAAAUCUCCGGGCUUAACUCGGAACGGCCAAUUGAUACUGCAGUGCUAGAGUGCAGAAAGGGCAACUGGAAUUCUUGGUGUAGCGGUGAAAUGCGUAGAUAUCAAGAGGAACACCUGAGGCGAAGGCGAGUUGCUAGGCUGACACUGACGCUGAGGCACGAAAGCCAGGGGAGCGAACGGGAUUAGAUACCCCCGUAGUCC
rnacentral:rRNA from 1 species